ensembl:lncRNA
GCCGCACCUCCGGCGCGGAAAGUUGCCCGCCGCCUGCCGCGCGGCCCCUCCCCUCCGCCGGCUGUUUGCGUUUAAAAUCCGCCCCCAUCUUUAAAACGGGGCUCCGGGUCUCUGCGGCCGCCGCCGCUCCCGGCCUCCCUUCCCCCACCCCUCGCGUCCACGCGGGCCCCGGCGCCCCCCGGGGCGGACGGACACCCCAAGUCUGCGUCUGAUCGGCCGCGGGCUUCCCGCGCCGGCGGCGAGGAGCCGCUCAGAUUCGUCUGUGCGCGCUGCUGCGUCGGUUUCGGCCCCAGACCCUCGCCGCCCGCCGGCGGGCUUCUGCUCCCCGGGCCGGGGCCCGAGCGCCGGCGCUGGGCCGCCGCGUACGCGGACGGAAGGAAUGUGGCCUCUCUCGGCCGAGUCCGCCCUUCUGCAGUCCGCGCCGCGCGCGUUCUAGGACUUCCCCGGGCAGCCCUGCAGCUCAGCCCUUGGGUCUCUCUUACUCAGCUACACCGCCUCCCCUUCCCAUCCAGCCUGUGCUGUGCGAAGUCACUUCAGUCAUGUCUGACUCUGUGGACUAUACCUCCGAAGCUCCUCUGUCCAUGGAAUUCUCCAGGCAAGAAUACCGGAGUAGGUUGCCAUGCCCUCCUCCAGAGAACAGUUCUGACCCAGGGAUCAAACCCAUGUCUUUUAUGUCUCCUGCAUUGGCAGGUGGGUUCUUUACCAUUAGCUCCACCUGGAAAGCCCUUCUUCCAGGCUUGAGGCUUUAAAUACCAUCUUUACCCUGAGAAAGAACUCUAAACCUGUAGUUCAAGUCCAAAGCUUUUUCCUGAGCUUCAGACUCUUAGCCGACAACUUCUUAG